rnacentral:rRNA from 1 species
GACGAACGCUGGCGGCGUGCUUAACACAUGCAAGUCGAACGGAAAGGCCCUGCUUUUGUGGGGUGCUCGAGUGGCGAACGGGUGAGUAACACGUGAGUAACCUGCCCUUGACUUUGGGAUAACUUCAGGAAACUGGGGCUAAUACCGGAUAGGAGCUCCUGCUGCAUGGUGGGGGUUGGAAAGUUUCGGCGGUUGGGGAUGGACUCGCGGCUUAUCAGCUUGUUGGUGGGGUAGUGGCUUACCAAGGCUUUGACGGGUAGCCGGCCUGAGAGGGUGACCGGCCACAUUGGGACUGAGAUACGGCCCAGACUGCUACGGGAGGCAGCGGUGGGGAGUAUUGCACAAUGGGCGGAAGCCUGAUGCAGCAACGUCGCGUGCGGGAUGACGGCCUUCGGGUUGUAAACCGCUUUCGCCUGUGACGAAGCGUGAGUGACGGUAAUGGGUAAAGAAGCACCGGCUAACUACGUG